rnacentral:rRNA from 1 species
UACGUAGGGACCGAGCGUUGUCCGGAUUCAUUGGGCGUAAAGAGCUCGUAGGCGGCCACUCAAGUCGAAUGUGAAACCUCGAGGCUUAACCUCGAGCCUGCAUUCGAUACUGGGCGGCUAGAGUCUGGUAGGGGGAUCUGGAACUCCUGGUGUAGCGGUGGAAUGCGCAGAUAUCAGGAAGAACACCAACGGCGAAGGCAGCUCGCUGGGACGGAACUGACGCUGAGGCGCGAAAGCGUGGGGAGCGAACAGG